rnacentral:rRNA from 1 species
CGGACGGGUGAGUAAUGUCUGGGAAACUGCCUGAUGAGGGGGAGUAACUACUGGAAACGGUAGCUAAUACCGCAUAACGUCGCAAGACCAAAGAGGGGGACCUUCGGGCCUCUUGCCAUCGGAUGUGCCCAGAUGGGAUUAGCUAGUAGGUGGGGUAACGGCUCACCUAGGCGACGAUCCCUAGCUGGUCUGAGAGGAUGGCCAGCCACACUGGAACUGAGACACGGUCCAG